GUAGCUCAGCAGAUAGAGCACAGGGCUUGAAUGCCUGAGGCCCUGGGUUCAAUCCCCAGC
rnacentral:tRNA from 1 species